AAUGUGUGUGUGCGUCACAAUUACUAAAAUAGAACAGCAACACACAUUGCUAGCCUGUUUGGCAUUCCUUUCGCUUUCUUUUACAGCUACCUUUCAAUCGUGUUGUAACAAGUUGUAAUACCGAGUCAACAUAUUGUAGUGCAGCUGCAUGGACCGUGAUAAUUCUCUGGGUGGAGAGAGGAGGAGCACAGAGAGAUGCAUGUUCUAACAAGAGAAUGGAAAUGAAAUAAAGCCGUACCAUCAUGCUAGCAUGAUGCUCCAGAGAUCUCAUGGUUGCUACUGGAAUAAUGAGCUAAGAGCGUCUCUCAUAUCUCCCACUGGUCCAUUUAUUUCAGGCACAAGAUCCGCUCUCAGAGUGUUAACAUGUUGAGCCAGGCCAAGCUGCACCCGAGAUGGACCAUCUCUUGAGUCGAGCCAAAAGCAUGCCAGACCACCCUAAAGCAGGUAGCGGUAAUGUCUCGACAACUGCAGCCAACCCUUGACAACUCCCUUCUCCACCUAAAACAUGCUGUGUGUUGUAAGACUCAACUCAUGUCUGUGCAGACCAGAGAGAAAGGCACACUUCAAAGUCUCUGUGUGUUCAGUUCUCUGUACUUUUGUAGCUUCUAAUUGAACCACUGUGGUUUGGAGUUUAGUUUCUCUCCUGCGUCCAUGUUUGUGCUUCAGAUAUUUGCUUUAUUUUACAGUUUCAUGUUCCCUCUCAGUCUGGAGUCAUGUUAAGUUACUGCUGAUGAAAACUCAACAUUUCCUUAUUUUCCUGCUUCAGUAAAACAAAACUUUUAUUACUUUUAUUGUGAAGAAAUCUAUAGGAAAUUAAAUAUCUAUCACCGAUUUAGCAGAACUUUGUUAACUGCUUCAAUAAAAAAACAAGUCUACCACAGGGAGGAAGACUUGGUCCGCUUAGCGUUUCCACCGCAAACAGCAAUCUUAAAUUUGGGCGGGGUUAUUGUCACUCACUGCUCCAUACAGCACUCACUGUAUGUCCUGGCUCUUCACCGGUGACCGGUACUGUCCACAGAACAGGAUUACACGUUGACAUUUGAACAAAAAACAGGCUGCAGUGAGAGUCUCUCUGGAUGGGAUAUUUAAAAAUAGUGCAUUUUUGUGCAUUUAGUCCUUCUAAGGCAAGCUCGGGGGAUUAGUGUUGCUGGAGCCCACAGGAACGACGCUCCUCAAUGCUUUUUUUUUUCCUCAGAGUGAGGAUUACAAUAUAUGCAGUUCACAUAAUCCACACAAAUUUAAUAUAUAUAUAAACGCUUGAACAUCCACUCAUUACUAGAAGUGUCUGUCAUAUAAAAAGUAAUGGUCAAAGUUGUCACAGUGAUGUUUAAGGUGUGCUGAUGGAUUCACGUCAUCAACUCAUAUACACUGAGUAACAUUACAAGUUAGUGAAUUAAGUUAUUUUUUCUCUGACUCCAGCUGCUGCGAGAGGCAGCAAAACAUCCUUUCAUUUUAUAGUUACAUACUAAUAAAACUCUCCACGGUAUGACCAGUGGUUACAUGAGCCUCAAAACUAGCCACAACUCAGCCCUGAGCAGAGUGACCGUCCGCUACUGACCAAUCAACGGACAGCAGUGUUCACAGCUCCACCUGUUAGUACCAGAUCUGUGUGCUAGGGACCCUAACAGAGGGGGGACCAAAAAUGGUUAUGGUACAGAAUAGUUCCAUUGGUACCAUCCACCACUUUUCACAGUGGAAAUGGGAAAAAAAGCGUUUCAAACUGAACUGUACUGCUUGCUGGAAACGGAGCUUUUCUGCACCUCUGCAAACAAAUUACUUCCAACAGGUAAUCACAUUUUAACUGCCGUACUGUGUGAUGGGAAAACACUUGCAGCAAAAUAACAGGGGACUCUAGCUAUGGAUCAUCCUGCUGGUUAUAAACUUAAUUGAUUCAAGACAAGACCAAUAUCAGUAAAAGACACACCUUCAAGCAGGUUGCCUUGUUGUAAUGCGCUGGGCUGACAUGUCGAGUCAAACAAAGUUAAGCUAAGCCAGCGUGUGUAAAACAGAGACAGAA